GACGAACGCUGGCGGCGUGCCUAACACAUGCAAGUCGAACGGAAAGGCCCUGCUUUUGUGGGGUGCUCGAGUGGCGAACGGGUGAGUAACACGUGAGUAACCUGCCCUUGACUUUGGGAUAACUUCAGGAAACUGGGGCUAAUACCGGAUAGGAGCUCCUGCUGCAUGGUGGGGGUUGGAAAGUUUCGGCGGUUGGGGAUGGACUCGCGGCUUAUCAGCUUGUUGGUGGGGUAGUGGCUUACCAAGGCUUUGACGGGUAGCCGGCCUGAGAGGGUGACCGGCCACAUUGGGACUGAGAUACGGCCCAGACUCCUACGGGAGGCAGCAGUGGGGAAUAUUGCACAAUGGGCGGAAGCCUGAUGCAGCAACGCCGCGUGCGGGAUGACGGCCUUCGGGUUGUAAACCGCUUUCGCCUGUGACGAAGCGUGAGCGACGGUAAUGGGUAAAGAAGCACCGGCUAACUACGUG
rnacentral:rRNA from 1 species